GAUGAACGCUGGCGGCGUGCCUAACACAUGCAAGUCGAGUGAUCUUCUUCGGAAGAGAGCGGCGGACGGGUGAGUAACGCGUGGGUAACCUGCCCUGUACACACGGAUAACAUACCGAAAGGUAUGCUAAUACGAGAUAAUAUGCUUUUAUCGCAUGGUAGAAGUAUCAAAGCUUUUGCGGUACAGGAUGGACCCGCGUCUGAUUAGCUAGUUGGUAAGGUAACGGCUUACCAAGGCGACGAUCAGUAGCCGACCUGAGAGGGUGAUCGGCCACAUUGGAACUGAGACACGGUCCAAACUCCUACGGGAGGCU
rnacentral:rRNA from 1 species